rnacentral:rRNA from 1 species
CCCUUAGAUGUUCUGGGCCGCACGCGUGCUACACUGAGUGGAUCAGCGGGUCAGGUUGCGCGAAAGCGUUUCCUAAUCUUUAAAUCCGCUCGUGAUGGGGAUUGACGGUUGCAAUUUUCUGUCAUGAACGAGGAAUUCCUUGUAAGCAUGGUUUAUCAUCCGACGCUGAAUGCGUCCCUGCCCUUUGUACACACCGCCCGUCGCUCCUACCGAUGAGUCGUCCGGUGAAGUUCGUAGACCUCGUGAUCGCGGAUCACUGGGGGAAGCAAAAUGAACCUCGCGGUUUAGAGGAAGGAGAAGUCGUAACA